UAAUAUUGAAUCCUACCAUCUUUAAUGGUAAACAUCUGUGGAUGAGAAUAUUGAAUCCUACCAUCUUAAAUGGUUUACUAGACAUCUGUGGAUAAGAAUAUUGAAUCCUAUUAUCUUUAAUAGUUAACAUCUGUGGAUGAGAAUAUUGAAUCCUACCAUCUUUAAUGGUUACUUGACAUCUCUUGAGGAGAAAAGCUGUUGUGUUGGCUACUUAAUAUCCUCCUCCCAAAACGUACCCCUGGGAACCAGUGAACUCAGCUCCUUCUGCUCCUUGACCAUUUCACCUGGAAGAGUUUAACCCACAAACUGGAGUUAAACAAAAUGACAUCAGUUUUGGCUUGACCCUCUCUUCCUUGUCAGAAAGAUAGUAAUAAUGACCUGGCACAGUCUGUUCUCCAGAAAAAGUGCAAAGCCCAUGUCAGUUCUUUCUUAAGAUGCCGAGCAGCAAGGCUCACCUUCCAGCUGUUGCGCCUGAGCGUGUGAAAUAGGACUUCUGCAAAGGUAACUCCCUUCUGGAACACCUGAGAGGUGGUCAACUUACUGUGGGUGCCUAGUAUACAAGAUGAAGCUUGGCGGGCAGUGUUCCCUAAAUCUGGAAAAAGAACUGGUCUGUUAUCUGAUCAAACUUUGUGUUCACUUGUAGAAACAAAACAAAUGGUCUCUGAGAAAAUGUCUCUGUAUUCGAUUGUUAUCUGGCUUCACUUCAAACACAUGUUCAACUUAUUCAUAAUCAAUGUUUUCAAGCUACAUGAUAACAAACAACUCUAUUCAUUAAAUAUAAACACACAGUCAUUGCAAAACUAUAUAAAUAUAUAUAAUAAUAGCAAUGUCUUUGAUUCCGAGGAUUAAGGAUGAGUGUAGUGUUUCAUAUGAUAAUUAUGAUUAUGCAAAUCCAUUUGCUACCUGCAUAUUUCUCCUUAUUUUGUGCUUCUUUUUAUAUAAAUAAUUCAUAUCAAUAGUUCAUUUAUAUGUUAAUUGAUUAAAAAAUAAAAACAUGUCAUUGUAAAAAUUGAUUUUGUUAAACUCAAAUAGUUCUGUGGGAAUUGUCACUAUGCUCUGUUUGAAAUGUUCUGAAUACAAAAUGAUGUGCUAAGCUGUGCUACUGAGACGAAGGUCCUGU